rnacentral:rRNA from 1 species
AGGUCUUGACAUCCUUUGACCAUUCUGGAGACAGAACUUUCCCUUCGGGGACAAAGUGACAGGUGGUGCAUGGUUGUCGUCAGCUCGUGUCGUGAGAUGUUGGGUUAAGUCCCGCAACGAGCGCAACCCUUGAUUUUAGUUGCCAGCAUUUAGUUGGGCACUCUAAAGUGACUGCCGGUGUAAGCCGGAGGAAGGUGGGGAUGACGUCAAAUCAUCAUGCCCCUUAUGACCUGGGCUA